rnacentral:rRNA from 1 species
GACGAACGCUGGUGGCGUGCUUAACACAUGCAAGUCGAACGGAAAGGCCCUGCUUUUGUGGGGUGCUCGAGUGGCGAACGGGUGAGUAACACGUGAGUAACCUGCCCUUGACUUUGGGAUAACUUCAGGAAACUGGGGCUAAUACCGGAUAGGAGCUCCUGCUGCAUGGUGGGGGUUGGAAAGUUUCGGCGGUUGGGGAUGGACUCGCGGCUUAUCAGCUUGUUGGUGGGGUAGUGGCUUACCAAGGCUUUGCCGGGUAGCCGGCCUGAGAGGGUGACCGGCCACAUUGGGACUGAGAUACGGCCCAGACUCCUACGGGAGGCAGCAGUGGGGAAUAUUGCACAAUGGGCGGAAGCCUGAUGCAGCAACGCCGCGUGCGGGAUGACGGCCUUCGGGUUGUAAACCGCUUUCGCCUGUGACGAAGCGUGAGUGACGGUAAUGGGUAAAGAAGCACAGGCUAACUACGUG